GCGCUGGUCGUCUAGUGGUUAGGACAUUGUCUUCCCAAGCUCAGAGGAAGAGGCAGGUACGCGGGUUCGAAUCCCGCCCGGCGCA